AAGUGGAUUAACAGUUUUUAAUCAUUUAUUAUAAAUACUGUACCAACACAUCGAUUAUAAGGAACUGGUUUUCCCCAACCAUUCUGGGUUUAGCCCCAUCAUCAACAUUGUGAAUAAAUAUUCCUAAUGUAGCCAUUGCCCUGUGCUAAUAAACUUUCAACAGGUAAGAAACAUGGCCUCAGGUGAGAUAUUUUACACCACACAGACAUGGAGAGUCAGGCAGAGAAGCCACAUGCCUAUCACUCUAUCCUUGUGGAUUAGGUACAGGCCACCCGUUACUUGGGAAAUUUCACCGUCAGUGUUUCCCACACUGGGGUUUUAAAAUCUAGACACUUGGCUUCAAGAUGCAUUACAAAGACUAAUAGUCAUUAGUUCCUGGGAAGUGUCUGCAUUAGAGUUGGCAGACAUGUCCUGCCCACAGCCUUCCACACUACAAAGCAGCCAUCUUCACAACAGAUGGCUCGGCCAGUCACCAAUAGCAAAAAAAAAAAAAAAAAAAAAAAAAAAAAAAAACCUCGUGCCAGUACAGGCCAGGUCCAAUAGACACUCUUCUGACAGCAGGAUUUUUUCACACUGAGAUAAAAUUCACAUCAAACAAAAUGCACUUUAACCAUUUUAGAGUAUAAAGCUCACUGCUUUUUAGUGUAUUAACAGUGAUGGGCAACCAUCACCACUCUCUCAUUCCAGAACAUUUCAUCAACACUGCCACCUCCCCCACCUCCAAAAACAACUUCCAUGCCCAUGAGCAGUCACUACCCACUGUCCUUCCCCUAGCCCCUGGCAACCACUAUCUACCUUCUGUCUCUCUGGAUUUGCCCAUGCUUAACACUUCAUAUAAAUAGAAUCACA
rnacentral:lncRNA from 10 species